UACGUAGGGCGCAAGCGUUGUCCGGAAUUAUUGGGCGUAAAGAGCUCGUAGGCGGUUUGUCGCGUCUGCUGUGAAAACUCGAGGCUCAACCUCGGGCUUGCAGUGGGUACGGGCAGACUAGAGUGCGGUAGGGGAGACUGGAAUUCCUGGUGUAGCGGUGGAAUGCGCAAAUAUCAGGAGGAACACCGAUGGCGAAGGCAGGUCUCUGGGCCGCAACUGACGCUGAGGAGCGAAAGCAUGGGGAGCAAACAGG
rnacentral:rRNA from 1 species